rnacentral:rRNA from 1 species
CCUACGGGAGGCAGCAGUGGGGAAUAUUGCACAAUGGGGGAAACCCUGAUGCAGCGACGCCGCGUGAGUGAAGAAGUAAUUCGUUAUGUAAAGCUCUAUCAGCAGGGAAGAAAAUGACGGUACCUGAGUAAGAAGCCCCGGCUAACUACGUGCCAGCAGCCGCGGUAAUACGUAGGGGGCAAGCGUUAUCCGGAUUUACUGGGUGGAAAGGGAGCGUAGACGGCAGUGCAAGUCUGGAGUGAAAGGCGGGGGCUCAACCCCCGGACUGCUCUGGAAACUGUACGGCUGGAGUGCAGGAGAGGUAAGUGGAAUUCGUAGGGUAGCGGUGAAAUGCGUAGAUAUUAGGAGGAACACCAGUGGCGAAGGCGGCUUACUGGACUGUAACUGACGUUGAGGCUCGAAAGCGUGGGGAGCAAACAGGAUUAGAUACCCGAGUAGUC